UCCCUGGUGGUUCAGAUGGUAAAGAGUCUGCCUGCGAUGCAGAAGACCCAGGUUCGAUCCCUGGGUAGGGAA
rnacentral:tRNA from 1 species